AUGAGGUCACCAAAGAAUGGCAUGAUGGCAAGGUUGGAGAUCUUGGAGAUGAGGAGGCUAGCCGCAAGAGGCCAUGCGGUGCCAAUGUUCGGCGGUGGUUCGGCAAGUGGUGGUGGCAAUGGUGCGGUGAAGACUUCAUCUUCUGAUGAUGAUGACGAUGGAGUGAUGAUGGGUGAUGAUGGGUGCGAUAUCUUUUGGGUUGUGGCGCGAAAACUAUGUUCAAAUGUCGCCAAAAUUGUGUUUGAAUUCUCGAAAUUUCUGUUUUAUUUGUCAAAAUCGCCGUCAAUUGCAUUGUGUGGUUUUACGGUUUGA
rnacentral:rRNA from 1 species